UCGUCGGGAAAAUGGCUUCGCAGAGCCCCGUCAAAUUUGGCUGGGGUCACUCAAACCGCAGAGCUUCUACGGAGCUUCGAGUAAGCUCAAUGACUCGGACUAUCAUUGUCACUCGGGUUCCUGGAAUCCGGCGAAAGAGGGCGUUUGGCCGAGGAAAACAUUUUACACAUUUUACGCCAGUGAUUGCAGUCCUGCGGGUCCUAUGGAUCCUCCGGCAGUUGAGUCCUGUGCAGGGAGGAUUCGGAAUGGUGUAACUUUGAUUAGGCGUUUCCGAGUUCUGGGAAAGAUGCGGUAAUUGGAAAAUUAAUUAAAACAUAAGGAGGAGAAGGAAGUAAUUCUGGAAUGAUGUAGCUGGGUCGCAUUUGUUGGGACUUUGAUGGUCUCCCUCGUUCACCUUGACGUGUGUGGCUUCACGCGCAAAUGACGUUUGCAGUUAACCCCCCACAUCAGGGAAAACUGAGCGGAUUCAUUUGAUUUAUCAUCCCUCAGGCGUGACAUUCGGUGACAUGCACAAAGUGCAGCGUAGUCCACUCUCCUCCUUCAAUCUCAAAACGUUUUCCAAGAGGUUUGCUUCGAGUCCGACAGGUUGCCCGCACCUCGGACGACUCAGUACAGCUCUGUACAACUAUCCAUUUGCUCAGGCAGACCAAGGAGAUUUUAUUCUGUGCUUGAAAGACACGAAUCAAACAGAACUUGUACGAAAUGCUACCGUUACACAAUGUUUAGACAAUGAACUGGGGCUCUUAGAACAGGACCGUCGAGGCUUAGGCAAACACUGAAGCACGACCAGUCUAGACACCUGAGCAAAGAGGAUCCAAAGGAUCAAUCGAGGCAAGGAGAAUCUUACUGCGUCAGAUCCAAGUGUCUUAUUUUGUAUAGAGGGAUGCUCAAAUCCAACGAUCGUAGCCCAACUCAGAGGAGGAGACUACAGUGAUGAGGUUGUACUGGAGGAAGAAUAACCGCCACUCCUUUAAUUCGAAGAUUUGAUUCGCAAAGUCCUGAGCGGAUAUGAUCAACCAAUUUCUAUGUGUGUAACUUGGCAUGCACGUCCUCAGUCGCCUGUCAGGCGCUGGGAAAGAUGCGACAAAGCCAAUCAUCAUACGUUCGGAGUGGAUAAUUGCUCUAAUUCAGUUAUUAUACAUAUACGUUGGAUCGUACUGUGUACAUAAUUUCUUUGUAACGAUCAAACUAUUUUUCUAAUGUGACUCAGAAUUGAAGCAUUGUGUAUACUAUUCCGAGUGAUAUUGUGAUUGAGAAGCGAUGAAUAUAUCUGUGAGAAUGAAUCCAUAAUAUAUAUUACGAUGUCCAAACAUGUAUUUUUUACCUCUGAUUCAUCAAUAUAUUUGACUUCUUUAAAUAUA